GGGAGUGUGACUUCGUGGUAAAGUGCUUGUCUACCAUGCAUGAAACCCUGGGUUCAAUUCUCAGUACCA
rnacentral:tRNA from 1 species